UACGUAGGGGGCAAGCGUUGUCCGGAAUCAUUGGGCGUAAAGCGCGUGUAGGCGGUCCGGUAAGUCGGCUGUGAAAGUCCAGGGCUCAACCCUGGGAUGCCGGUCGAUACUGCCGGACUAGAGUUCGGAAGAGGCGAGUGGAAUUCCCAAUGUAGCGGUGAAAUGCGCAGAUAUCGGGAGGAACACCGGUGGCGAAGGCGGCUUGCUGGGCCAGUUCUGACGCUGAGGAGCGAAAGCGUGGGGAGCAAACAGG
rnacentral:rRNA from 1 species